GGGUGAGUCUCGGGUGCCCGGCCCUCCUGUGGGCGCGCUGGGGAAGCACAGUUCUCCUCAGGUCCAGGCGUUCCGGCGAGGGGAGCGCCCAGAAAGCCGGGAAUGGAAACCUCGGCUGGGCUGGGCUCGAGGUCGCCCCUGCCUUCAGGGUAACCGUGCCUGACGGGACAGCCGCAGAACCCACAGGGCUCACCGGGGGGAGGCCCGGAGGGGCAUGGGGAACAGAGCCCAGACUUGGACUAGGAAGACCCCUGAGUCCCAGCACCCGCCACUGCAGGCCUCAUUCCGUUUUGCAAUCAGGUGAUAGUUCAGGGGCAGGCCAGUUAACGCUGUUGCUCCCUUGGCCUUUAGUGUUUGUGUGUGAGAGAGGGAGGGUCUAAUUCUAUAGUUGGGUUUUUGUUUUUGGAGACAGGCCUUUGUGUAGCCUCGGCUCUCCUGGACUCACUUCGUCGGCAAGGCCGGCCUCGACUUCACCGAGAUCCGCCUGCUUCUGCCUCCCGGAGUGCAGGGAUUACAACCUGCAGUGUAACGCACGGUUGUAUGGCCGUGGGUGACUUGGUUUCGAACUCACGGCACUCCCCUGCCGCUGUCUUCGGAGAUUACAGAUGAAUGUACUCCGGGGCCUGGCAAGGCUUGUUUUUUUGUUGGUUUUUUUGAGACGGAGUCUCUUGCAGCCCGGGCUAGUCUGAAAUUUACGGAAGUUGGCUUUGAAUUCCCGAUCCUCCUGUCAAUACCUUACAAGCCCUAUUGCCUUUUGCACCUCAUCUUCUCUCAGCAGCCCCUCCCUUUUAAUUUUCUUGCCUUUUUCAUGUAAUCCAGGCUUGUCUUGAAUAUAACCUUGCAGUUUUAAAAAAAGAUCUUGUGUGGGUGUGUGUAUACAGGCAUAUAUAUGCAGAGGCCGGGGGAGGGUGUUGGGGUAUCUGCCAUUGCUUUCUACCUGUUCCUGAGGCAGGGUCUUUUCCUGAACCUGGGAUUUGGAUUUCCUCAUCUGAGCUGGAAGCCAGCAAGCACCAGUGGAUGGCCCUGUGGCGCACAGGUGGCCUGGCUCGCCAAGAGGGAGGCUCUCCCUAUGUUGGUCACACAGCCUGGCCUGAACUUGAGACCUUACCCCAAGGUCCAGGAUGCUGCAAUGUGCAUCUUGGUCAGCAGAUUCUCUAAAAAAGCCAGAAGCAAAGGUGCAGGCCUGUAAUGAUCUUCAGCUCAAACAGCCCAAGUGACAGUGAACCGAUCUACUUCCGCUGGCAAGCUUCGACUCCUAAGGCCCAUCCAUCUCUCAAUGUGACACUGCAACUGCCGAGUCCAGAGGACCCAGCUAAGGGACUCUCAAGGUGAUGGAUACUGCCCCUUCGUUUUGUUUUUUGAUCCUGGCCUUGAGUGUGCUAGGCUAGCACUCCACCCACUGAACUCGACAUUAACUCCCAACUGCCCACUCACUUCUAUCUAUUAUUUGUAUUUCCCCUGGAAGGGUCUCAUAGCCUGGGGAUGUGGUAUGUAGACUGGUCUAGCCUCUCCUCCCCAGGUGACGGGACUGAAAGGCAUGUGCUACCACACUCAUUUCUUGGGUUCUUGAGUCAACUGUCUCACUAUAGGCUGGCCCUGAAUUUGUGAUCCUCCUGCCUCAGAUUCCCAAGCAGUGGAAUGGUAUCACCAAAUGUAAAAGCACCACACCCAACUUGCUUUAUCCACCUCCCCCCAGCACCCAGGUGCUGGGAAAUGAAGCGUAAAUCCACCCACCCGCUACACAAGAGCUCUGCCACCGAGCUACACCCGCCUUUCACUGUUAGGCAUUGCUGUGCCCCCACACCACCACCCCGGCUCAUUUCUGACUGAGGGUGGAAGACACCUACUUCCAAUCAAACUUUCAAAAACAAAGCAGUUAAACCCUAUUAAAUGAAGCUAGGUAGUGCUGACAUCAGAUCUGUAAGUUUAUUUUGCUCAAUGUACGACGGCUACAUAAUGACUCACAUUCAUGAAUAUUCCAUCACUGAGGAAAACUGCUAAGAAUGGUCCGUGUGCAAAAUAAUUCCUUAGCGAAACACGGAGUUGGGGGGGAAAAUCACUUGAUUAGACCUUAAAAAUAGUUCACUGCAUAACAUGACAAGAAAGCACAGAGGCGCAUUCAGAGAGCGUCCAUGGCGUUCUCCUACGCUGCAAUAGUUAUAAUUUCACCAUGACAAACACCAGACAUUAAUAGUAAGCUAACACUGGUGUUUCUUUUGUCCCCUCCCCCCCGAAAAAAAUAGAACUGCAUGUCACUAUAGCAACAUCCAAAACAAAUCAAUU